rnacentral:rRNA from 1 species
GACGAACGCUGGCGGCGUGCCUAAUACAUGCAAGUCGAGCGGACAGAUGGGAGCUUGCUCCCUGAAGUCAGCGGCGGACGGGUGAGUAACACGUGGGCAACCUGCCUGUAAGACUGGGAUAACUUCGGGAAACCGGAGCUAAUACCGGAUACGUUCUUUUCUCGCAUGAGAGAAGAUGGAAAGAUGGUUUCGGCUAUCACUUACAGAUGGGCCCGCGGCGCAUUAGCUAGUUGGUGAGGUAAUGGCUCACCAAGGCGACGAUGCGUAGCCGACCUGAGAGGGUGGUCGGCCACACUGGGACUGAGACACGGCCCAGACUCCUACGGGAGGCAGCAGUAGGGAAUCUUCCGCAAUGGACGAAAGUCUGACGGAGCAACGCCGCGUGAACGAUGAAGGCCUUCGGGUCGUAAAGUUCUGUUGUUAGGGAAGAACAAGUACCAGAGUAACUGCUGGUACCUUGACGGUACCUAACCAGAAAGCCACGGCUAACUACGUGCCAGCCGCCGCCGUAACAC